CUCCGAUGCUGAGCGAGCUGUUAAGGAAAAGGGAGACGGAGAUUCAUUGGAAAAAGAGCACAAAAAGCGAUAUAUAAGAGUCAGAGGUCGGAGGCGGCGCCAUUUUGUGUUGCGCUGUCCUCUCGUGAGAUCGGUCAGGUUUUUUUUUUUCUUUUCCUUGGUUUGUUUUAUUUGUGAUGUGAUGGCGAGCCAAUCCCACAGACGAGCCAGACAACUUCUUCCCGUGCUGCCCUGCACAGUGCGGUAGGCCAGCUGCGACAAGGAUCUCUGCCACACCAUUCUGCACCUGCUGUCCUCUUUCACACACACACACAUACACUGACGUUCCCCUGGACUUUUAGACGCUUUAAGGACUUCUACGGACUCAGUACACUCCCACAGGCAGGAAGCGGACCU